GAUGAAGAACGCAGCGAAAUGCGAUAAGUAAUGUGAAUUGCAGAAUUCAGUGAAUCAUCGAAUCUUUGAACGCACAUUGCGCCCCCUGGUAUUCCGGGGGGCAUGCCUGUUCGAGCGUCAUUUCACCACUCAAGCCUCGCUUGGUAUUGGGCAACGCGGUCCGCCGCGUGCCUCAAAUCGACCGGCUGGGUCUUCUGUCCCCUAAGCGUUGUGGAAACUAUUCGCUAAAGGGUGUUCGGGAGGCUACGCCGUAAAGCAACCCCAUUUCUAAGGUUGACCUCGGAUCAGGUAGGGAUACCCGCUGAACUUAAGCAUAUCAAUAAGCGGAGGA
rnacentral:misc_RNA from 1 species